rnacentral:rRNA from 1 species
GACGAACGCUGGCGGCGCGCCUAACACAUGCAAGUCGAACGAGCGAGAGAGAGCUUGCUUUCUCGAGCGAGUGGCGAACGGGUGGGUAACGCGUGAGGAACCUGCCUCAAAGAGGGGGACAACAGUUGGAAACGACUGCUAAUACCGCAUAAGCCCACGGGUCGGCAUCGACCAGAGGGAAAAGGAGCAAUCCGCUUUGAGAUGGCCUCGCGUCCGAUUAGCUAGUUGGUGAGGUAAUGGCCCACCAAGGCGACGAUCGGUAGCCGGACUGAGAGGUUGAACGGCCACAUUGGGACUGAGACACGGCCCAGACUCCUACGGGAGGCAGCAGUGGGGAAUAUUGCACAAUGGGGGAAACCCUGAUGCAGCGACGCCGCGUGGAGGAAGAAGGUCUUCGGAUUGUAAACUCCUGUUGUUGGGGAAGAUAAUGACGGUACCCAACAAGGAAGUGACGGCUAACUACGUG